GACGAACGCUGGCGGCGUGCUUAACACAUGCAAGUCGAACGAAGUGGCGAACGGGUGAGUAACGUGUAAUCAACCUGCCCUUCAGGGGGGGACAACAGUAGAAAACGGCUGCUAAUGCGGCAUACGGAAGGAGGGGAUUGCGUCGGAUUAGCUAGUUGGAGGGUGAACGGCCCACCAAGGCGAUGAUCCGUAGCCGGUCUGAGAGGAUGACCGGCCACACUGGGACUGAGACACGGCCCAGACUCCUACGGGAGGCAGCAGUGGGGAAUCUUCCGCAAUGGACGAAAGUCUGACGGAGCAACGCCGCGUGAGUGAAGAAGGUUUUCGGAUCGUAAAACUCUGUUGUUAGAGAAGCGGUAUCUAACCAGAAAGCCACGGCUAACUACGUGCCAGCAGCCGCGGUAAUUC
rnacentral:rRNA from 1 species